rnacentral:rRNA from 1 species
UACGGAGGUGGCAAGCGUUGCUCGGAAUCACUGGGCGUAAAGCGCACGUAGGCGGAUCUUUAAGUCAGGGGUGAAAUCCCAAGGCUCAACCUUGGAACUGCCUUUGAUACUGGGGAUCUCGAGUCCGGAAGAGGUGAGUGGAACUGCGAGUGUAGAGGUGAAAUUCGUAGAUAUUCGGAAGAACACCAGUGGCGAAGGCGGCUCACUGGACCGGCAUUGACGCUGAGGUGCGAAAGCGUGGGGAGCAAACAGG